rnacentral:rRNA from 1 species
UACGUAGGGGGCUAGCGUUGUCCGGAAUCAUUGGGCGUAAAGAGCGUGUAGGCGGCCCGGUAAGUCCGCUGUGAAAGUCGGGGGCUCAACCCUCGAAUGCCGGUGGAUACUGUCGGGCUAGAGUGCGGAAGAGGCGAGUGGAAUUCCUGGUGUAGCGGUGAAAUGCGCAGAUAUCAGGAGGAACACCAAUGGCGAAGGCAGAUCUCUGGGCCGUAACUGACGCUGAGGAGCGAAAGCAUGGUGAGCGAACAGG